UACGAAGGGGGCUAGCGUUGUUCGGAAUCACUGGGCGUAAAGCGCACGUAGGCGGAUCUUUAAGUCAGGGGUGAAAUCCCGAGGCUCAACCUCGGAACUGCCUUUGAUACUGGGGAUCUCGAGUCCGGGAGAGGUGAGUGGAACUGCGAGUGUAGAGGUGAAAUUCGUAGAUAUCGCAAGAACACCAGUGGCGAAGGCGGACUCACUGGCCCGGAACUGACGCUGAGGUGCGAAAGCGUGGGAG
rnacentral:rRNA from 1 species